UCAUUGGCUCCUUUUGAGCCUUGCUUUUCAGCUUUGUUAUGGUCAGUCUAGAACAGCAUUUAGUCUAAGCUUGGGAUUGACAAAUUGUGUCCCACAGGACCAGCCACCAUUCUGAGUGCCUUCCACAGACCAGGUACUUUGACCGCCCCCAUUUUAUAGGAGAAGAUGCUGGAACACAGAAGAGUUAACUAACUCCGUGAAGCCAUGGAGCCAGGAUUUGAACCCAGAACAGCUUCCAGUGAAAGAAGGCACCAAUGACCACAUGAGACAUGGAAGCGGUUGCAGGUUUUUAUAAGAAGGAGGCUGCGUAAAUUCAAGGUUUUAUUGAGCAACAAGUACAUAUUAUACAAGGCCGGAGGUAGCAAUGGGAAGAAGAGCUGGUUUCUUGCUUACUGCGUGACGUCUUUCCUCCCUGGGCCUUCGUGCGCAUACCUGUUUAGAAAAAGAAAGUCAGCAAUGAUGGUUGAACAGGAUGUUUUGUCCCCAAGGUGUCUUCCACCUCUAGUAUUCUUUGAUUCUGAGCCAAGAUCUCGAAGAGUCCACGGAGGCUGUACGGAGUGUGUUCUUUGCAGACUGGCUCCCUGUAGGGUUUUAACUUCCUGCCUCCCAGUCUUAUUUCUACCAGAUAGGAUGAUUUUAGUUGCAAAUGGACAGAAAGCCGGACUGAAGCCAGGUGAAGCAUAAAAGGAAUUUAUUGGCUUACGAUACCGAAAAGCUGUGAAUGGUUUUAUUCAGGAACGGCUUGGUCCAGGACCUCAAAUGCUCUUUGGUGCUCUGGCUUUCCUCUUUUCCUCUCUCGGUUCUGCUUUCUCUGGUUUGUCUCCAUUUUCGGAUCUGCUCUUCCCUGUGGCAGCAAGAUGACUGCCACAGCUCCAGACAUUACCUUUCAACCCCAGCUUCGGUAAAAGACACGUCAACCCACAUGUGAGCUCCCCCGCACACGUCCUAGGACUCGUGCUGAUCAUACUGGUUCAGGUCAAAUGCCCAUCCUUGAGCCAAAUGCUGCGGCCAGAGGUAUUAAAUUGUGCCCACUGGUUAGGACUGGGCCGCCUGCUCCUCAUCUGGAGCCUGAGGUGUAGCCCUGUCUGAGCCUCCUGCACUGGGGAGUCUGGGAUGGUGUCACCAAGAGGCAGGAGAAUGAUUCUGGGUAGCUGGAAAUUAGUGCUGGGCUACCCCAGGCUCUGUGAGACCUAGGAGGAGGCCUGAGAUUCUGAUCCAAAAAACAAGAAAUGGACAGAGGGACAAGAAAGGAUUUCGACCCAGAGAUGGCCCAGAAUUGAAUGACGUGUCCAUGGUGGCAGCUCACUGCCCACUCAGGAUGUCCUUUGUUCCGGGCACUGUGUCAGGGAUUUUGGAUAACCCCGGUACAUAGUUACUUCCAGGAGAUUACAGGGAGGGAAAUAACUCCACUUCCUGUUUAGGAUUACACUCCUAACCCUCCCCUCCCACGCAAGCCAUAUGUUCAUUCUGAGCCUCAGCAUCCAGCCAGAAAAGCCCUUUGUGUUUUCUUGGCAAAACUAGGGCCCAGUAAUUAAAGUCCAUAUGCAAAGCUGCUACCUCCAGCCCACACCGAGGUCUUUUAAUUAGUAUGUAAUUGGUCAGAGAGGUACUAUCAAAUCGCUCCCAGCCUGGCCGGCUGGAAAUGCAGUGUUUGAAAAGUCCCAGACCAGAGGGGGAUAAUAAAUGUUUUGAGUCCCAUCUGUUGGAAUGAUUUGUUGAAAGUAUAUUUCUGUUCUGUUACUAUUUUUAACACGUCUGCUUGUAGCAUUUCUUCAAACGCCGCGACAACUACCAGAGCCUCCCUUGGAGGUAGGAGUGUGAGUAAAUG